CCCGUUCAAUAGCAAGGGGUGUUUAUAAACCGUUGAAACCGACCAAGCCAUCCUUGGUCCCUAAAGAAGGGGGCACUGCGUAAGGCUGGCUUCACAGAGCUGCGAAAACCUCUCGCUCUUGACAGUGGAAGGAUUA
rnacentral:SRP_RNA from 11 species